GUGCCAGCAGCCGCGGUAAUACGUAGGGCGCAAGCGUUGUCCGGAAUUAUUGGGCGUAAAGAGCUCGUAGGCGGCCAGUCGCGUCGGGUGUGAAAGACCGGGGCUCAACCCCGGUUCUGCAUUCGAUACGGGCUGGCUAGAGUGUGGUAGGGGAGAUCGGAAUUCCUGGUGUAGCGGUGAAAUGCGCAGAUAUCAGGAGGAACACCGGUGGCGAAGGCGGAUCUCUGGGCCAUUACUGACGCUGAGGAGCGAAAGCGUGGGGAGCGAACAGGAUUAGAUACCCGCGUAGUCC
rnacentral:rRNA from 1 species